rnacentral:rRNA from 1 species
GUGGGGAAUCUUAGACAAUGGGCGCAAGCCUGAUCUAGCCAUGCCGCGUGAGCGAUGAAGGCCUUAGGGUUGUAAAGCUCUUUCAGGGGGGAAGAUAAUGACGGUACCCCCAGAAGAAGCCCCGGCUAACUCCUUGCCAGCAGCCGCGGUAAUACGGAGGGGGCUAGCGUUGUUCGGACUUACUGGGCGUAAAGCGCACGUAGGCGGACCAGAAAGUACGGGGUGAAAUCCCGGGGCGCAACCCCGGAACUGCCUUUGAAACUCCUGGUCUUGAGGUCGGGAGAGGUGAGUGGAAUUCCGAGUGUAGAGGUGAAAUUCGUAGAUAUUCGGAGGAACACCAGUGGCGAAGGCGGCUCACUGGCUCGAUACGGACGCUGAGGUGCGAAAGCGUGGGGAGCAAACAGGAUUAGAUACCCGGGUAGUCC